GUAUAAUUCCCAGCUGUGGAAUUGCUGGGUCGAAUGGCAGUUCCACUUUUAAUUUUUUGAGGUGACUCCAUACUGUUUUCCACAGUGGCUGCACCAGUCUGCAUUGCCACGAACAGUGCACGAGGGUUUCCUUUUCUCCACAACCUGGCCAGCCCUUGUCAUUAGAUGAACCAAAAAAGUUUGCAUUGCUCUCUCCACCACAGGGGAGGAAAAAAGGUUAAAUCCACUCCUAGGGCUGAAUCAAAGCUUUAGAUAAGCCAAAGGGGAAAAGAAAACAAAAAACCAAAAACUAAACACAGCUCUUCAACCCCUAUUCUAACUGGGAUCUCUGGGCAGCCACGGUGUUAACCCUGUAAAUGCUGAAUUUACUUCAAGGGACUUAAGUAAUCCUGCAGUGAGGACAAGAAAUGGGGAGAUUUAUAGUACAAUGUGAUCUGUCAAUUGUAUCUCAAAGAA